GCGAAUGGCUCAUUAAAUCAGCUAUGGUUUACUGGACCGUACCCGUUAAAUGGAUAACUGUAAUAACUCUAGAGCUAAUACAUGCAACUAUGCCCUGAACCGAAAGGCAAGGGGUGCACUUAUUAGAUCAGAAGCUAACUGGACACUGGCCGCAAGGCCGGAGUCUGUUGUCGUUCUGGUGACUCUGGAUAAUUGUUACAGAUCGCAGUCGGCCAUGAGUCGGCGACGGGUCCUCCAAAUGUCUGCCCUAUCAACUUUCGAUGGUAGGUGACCUGCCUACCAUGGUGAUAACGGGUAACGGGGAAUCAGGGUUCGAUUCCGGAGAGGGAGCCUGAGAAACGGCUACCACUUCCAAGGGAGGCAGCAGGCGCGCAAAUUACCCACUCCCAGCACGGGGAGGUGGUGACGAAAAAUACCGAUGCGGGACUCCCAAACGAGGCUCCGUAAUCGGAAUGAGUCGACUAUAAAUCCUUUAACGAGGAUCAAUUGGAGGGCAAGUCUGGUGCCAGCAGCCGCGGUAACUCCAGCUCCAAUAGCGUAUAUUAAAGUUGCUGCAGUUAAAAAGCUCGUAGUUGGAUCUCGGUAUUAUUGUUGCCUGCUGGCUGUUAAGGAUUUGCUGGCCUUGCGGCGUAUGGGUGAGCCUGUGCGACGCAGGGUUGGUGUCCUUUGGUCGGUGGCGGCGAUGAUACCUUUUAGCCAUGUCUGUGGUGAAAUAUCUACAGGUGUAGGCGAGUGCCAGACUGAGUCCUGCAAUUGUGGGAUUCGUCGGCUUGUCUGCAUGCCUAUGGAUGCCCUUUAAAAGGUGUCUGUGGGCGGAUGGCACGUUUACUUUGAACAAAUUUGAGUGCUCAAACCAGGCCGAUGUUGCCUGAAAAGUUUUGCAUGGAAUAAUGGAAUAGGACUUCGGUUCUAUUUCGUUGGUUUUCGGAUCCGAAGUAAUGAUCAAAAGAGACAGGCGGGGACGUUUGUAUGGCUGCGCUAGAGGUGAAAUUCUUGGACCGUAGCCAGACAAACUAAAGCGAAAGCAUUCGUCAAGCAUGUUUUCAUUGGCCAUGAGCGAAAGUCAGAGGCUCGAAGACGAUCAGAUACCGUCCUAGUUCUGACCAUAAACGAUGCCAACUGACGAUCCGUGAUGGUUGCAUCUUAACCUUCCUCACGGGCAGUCCCCGGGAAACCAUUAAGUCUAUGGGUUCCGGGGGAAGUAUGGUUGCAAAGCUGAAACUUAAAGGAAUUGACGGAAGGGCACCACCAGGAGUGGAGCCUGCGGCUUAAUUUGACUCAACACGGGAAAACUCACCCGGGCCGGACACUAUGAGGAUUGACAGAUUGAAAGCUCUUUCUUGAUUUGGUGGUUGGUGGUGCAUGGCCGUUCUUAGUUGGUGGAGCGAUUUGUCUGGUUAAUUCCGAUAACGAACGAGACUCCAGCCUGCUAAUUAGUUCUCCUGUCCACUGUACUUGUGCAGGCGGGCAUUGGCCACAUCUGCCCUUCACGGUUGGCCUUCCGGUGCUGUUGUUGUUAGUCGCGUCGGGUGCUCAUCUUUACGGGUGGGUGCUUGGUGUGCUGAUGACGGCUAUCUGGUUGAUUGACUUGGGUGGAUAGAGCUGUGUCUGCUUCCGAGUACGGCGCGGGUGUCCACUUCUUAGAGGGACAAGCGGGAGAAGCCGCACGAAAUUGAGCAAUAACAGGUCUGUGAUGCCCUUAGAUGUCCGGGGCCGCACGCGCGCUACAAUGACGGUGGCAACGAGUCUGGCCUUCUGGCCCGAAAGGGUUGGGUAAACUGGUCAAUCACCGUCAUGACAGGGAUCGGGGUUUGGAAUUGUUCCCCGUGAACGAGGAAUUCCUAGUAAGUGCAAGUCAUAAGCUUGCGCUGAUUACGUCCCUGCCCUUUGUACACACCGCCCGUCGCUACUACCGAUUGAAUGGUUUAGUAAGGUCCUUGGAUUGGCGCCAUUGAAGCCGUCAGGCUCAGGCGGUGCUGAGAAGACGACCGAACUUGAUCAUUUAGAGGAAGUAAAAGUCGUAACAAG
rnacentral:rRNA from 1 species